rnacentral:rRNA from 1 species
UACGUAGGUGGCAAGCGUUGUCCGGAUUUACUGGGUGUAAAGGGCGUGUAGCCGGGCUUACAAGUCAGAUGUGAAAUCCGGGGGCUCAACUCCCGAACUGCAUUUGAAACUGUAGGUCUUGAGUAUCGGAGAGGCAGGCGGAAUUCCUAGUGUAGCGGUGAAAUGCGUAGAUAUUAGGAGGAACACCAGUGGCGAAGGCGGCCUGCUGGACGACAACUGACGGUGAGGCGCGAAAGCGUGGGGAGCAAACAGG